CUGCAUUUUCAGUGAACCACAGAGAACCAGAAUAAGAUUGUAGGGAAACAAGCCUUGUUACAAGGUUUGAGGGUCUCUGCUAGUAUCAUGUGGACCCCAGUGUAACAAAUCUAUGGAAAGAGAGAAAAUCUCAGCUCAAGGGUCAACAUGUCUUUAUUCCAAGAAAGAGUGUACAUAUGCCAGAAUCAUAUGGACCGCAGACUGGCCCUGGUGAUUCCGUUAAAAAAAAAGAGGAAAAAUCAGUGCUUGUGCUCAUUGGUCAUUGGACAAAGGGUGAAUGCCAGAAUUUUUUCAAGAACAGUCUGAAUCUGACAUGGAAAAAUGAAGAAAAACAGCCUUCCUGUUUAUAAAUCUACAUUCUGACAAAGGGUAAGAAAGAAAUUCAGGAGUUCUUAAAUUGCCCUUGGAGUUCUUGGAUUGCAUCAAACUGCUAAAAGACCUCAACAAAAACAGCGUCUUGAAAAUAAAAAUGAAAAUAUUCAGUGAAAAAAAAAUGAUGAAAGAGCCACUAAAAAUCUUCAAGCCUUUGAGCUGAAAUCUGGAAGUCAAUCUGUGGACUUUACUAGUAUGUCAUAAUUACUAAGUCAUCAUUUGUGUAUAAUAAAUACACUAAACUGUAAACACUUGUUAAAAUGUGUAUAAUUUUUAGAUAUAAUUUGUAGCUCACAGACUUCAAUAGUUUCAUGUAAUGUAAGUAAUAAUGAAAAUUUCCUGUUGUCUAGCUAGAUUAGAAACUAUUAUUGUCCAAUUUUGGAUAUUGUGAAAUAAUUCAUCUAGUAUGCAUACAUGUGUGUACACUUACGUGUAAAUUAAUUGUUAUAGCAAAUUCAAUCGAUCAUUAAGUUGAAUGUUGACUAAUGUUUUUCAUCAAAAUUGUUUACACUGAAUUGUUUGUGGAUUUUUCCAUUUGCCCAGUCAUGUCAAGGAGCACAUGGCAGGAAAUGCUUUCUCCUCCAUUGCACCUGGUGUUUUUAGAGGUCUGUGUUUGCUCUGCUCUAAUUAUGUAUUGUUUCAAUGGACUUUAAAGCUUGAUCACUGUUGGUAAUCUUCAUAUUUCAUAUACUAUUAGAGUACUUGAAGAAAACUGUAAAGAUUUAACAUACAGUAUAAUGCAUGUAUAUUGCACUUUAAGUACAGUGUAUGUGGUUAAGAAAUGUUAAAUCGUCUCAUAGUGCAUUGAAUUUGUUGAAAAUUAGAAAAUGUGUUGAAUUUUUUUUUAAAUAAUGUUAGAUUGCAGAUUUUUUUAAAUCAUGCAAGUAAGAAAUUGCUAAAUAUUUUUUAGCUUUUCUGGACAGUCUAGAUGAGUUCUUAUUAUAUACCUAGCAUUGUCAUCCCAGUUAAAAUUUAAGGAGCAACGUUCAUUCCUAAGCUCUACCUGGACAAAAUUGCAUGGAUUAAAGCACAUUAACAGAUUUACUUCAGAUGCUUGACCUGAUCUACAUUUUCCUCAUGUGUUUUUUUUUGUUUUUGUUUGUUUGUUGUUUUACAUCCCUCUCAAGAAUUUUUCAUCCAUAUGGAGAUGCCACUACUUGCUGGUGGAGAGCUGCAAAAUUUGACCUAUACUUUGCACUCAGGGCCUUGAGCAGUAAGGGAUCUUUUUUGUGCCCACAUCAACUGCUAGGCGGGACCUCAGUUUAUAUGGUCUAAUCUGAAGGACUGGUCCCCACAACCCCAGUGGAUUUGAACCUGAGACUUAAGGAUUAAAUCCUUACUCGCGACUCUAGAUUACAAACUCUCUCCUUUGCGCCACAUGGGGGACUCCACAAGAUUAAGUGUUUUGAGCAGUCCUAUUCUCAUGUAAUUAUAAACUCUAUGUUGAACAAACCUGCAAAGAUGAUGUAUGUACAUGUAAAUGUUUCAGGGUACCAAUCCUUGAUUUGACUUAGAUUUUCUGGAUUAAUGACCAGUUUUUUAGAGAAGGUUCAUUCAAAGUAACAAUAUACUCUUUGG